GGGACACGUGGUAUCCUGUCUGAAUAUGGGGGGACCAUCCUCCAAGGCUAAAUACUCCUGACUGACCGAUAGUGAACCAGUACCGUGAGGGAAAGGCGAAAAGAACCCCGGCGAGGGGAGUGAAAAAGAACCUGAAACCGUGUACGUACAAGCAGUGGGAGCACAGGUUUACCUGUGUGACUGCGUACCUUUUGUAUAAUGGGUCAGCGACUUAUAUUCUGUAGCAAGGUUAACCGUAUAGGGGAGCCGGAGGGAAACCGAGUCUUAAUUGGGCGUUAAGUUGCAGGGUAUAGACCCGAAACCCGGUGAUCUAGCCAUGGGCAGGUUGAAGGUUGGGUAACACUAACUGGAGGACCGAACCGACUAAUGUUGAAAAAUUAGCGGAUGACCUGUGGCUGGGGGUGAAAGGCCAAUCAAACCGGGAGAUAGCUGGUUCUCCCCGAAAGCUAUUUAGGUAGCGCCUCGUGAAUUCAUCUCCGGGGGUAGAGCACUGUUUCGGCUAGGGGGCCAUCCCGGCUUACCAACCCGAUGCAAACUGCGAAUACCGGAGAAUGUUAUCACGGGAGACACACGGCGGGUGCUAACGUCCGUCGUGAAGAGGGAAACAACCCAGACCGCCAGCUAAGGUCCCAAAGUCAUGGUUAAGUGGGAAACGAUGUGGGAAGGCCCAGACAGCCAGGAUGUUGGCUUAGAAGCAGCCAUCAUUUAAAGAAAGCGUAAUAGCUCACUGGUCGAGUCGGCCUGCGCGGAAGAUGUAACGGGGCUAAACCAUGCACCGAAGCUGCGGCAGCGAACGUAUCACCCAAGACAACUUUACGGAGUUGACGAUUGACGGAGCGAAGCGACGUCAAAGCGUUCAUUAAAGUCGAGUUGGCUUAGGGAUACGUUCGUUGGGUAGGGGAGCGUUCUGUAAGCCUGUGAAGGUGUGUCGUGAGGCAUGCUGGAGGUAUCAGAAGUGCGAAUGCUGACAUAAGUAACGAUAAAGCGGGUGAAAAGCCCGCUCGCCGGAAGACCAAGGGUUCCUGUCCAACGUUAAUCGGGGCAGGGUGAGUCGACCCCUAAGGCGAGGCCGAAAGGCGUAGUCGAUGGGAAACGGGUUAAUAUUCCCGUACUUGGUGUUACUGCGAAGGGGGGACGGAGAAGGCUAUGUUGGCCGGGCGACGGUUGUCCCGGUUUAAGCGUGUAGGUGUGUGUUCCAGGUAAAUCCGGUU
rnacentral:rRNA from 1 species